AGAGUUUGAUCCUGGCUCAGGAUGAACGCUGGCGGCGUGCUUAACACAUGCAAGUCGAACGGGGAUUACACGGAGAUGCGAUUUCGGUCAAAUCAAGUGCAAUCUUAGUGGCGGACGGGUGAGUAACGCGUGGGUAACCUGCCUUGCACUGGGGGAUAACACUUAGAAAUAGGUGCUAAUACCGCAUAAGCGCACGGUCCUGCAUGGGACAGUGUGAAAAACUCCGGUGGUGCAAGAUGGACCCGCGUCUGAUUAGCUGGUUGGCGGGGUAAAGGCCCACCAAGGCGACGAUCAGUAGCCGGCCUGAGAGGGUGGACGGCCACAUUGGGACUGAGACACGGCCCAAACUCCUACGGGAGGCAGCAGUGGGGGAUAUUGGACAAUGGGGGGAACCCUGAUCCAGCGACGCCGUGUGAGUGAAGAAGUAUUUCGGUAUGUAAAGCUCUGUCAGCAGGGAAGAAAGCAAUGACGGUACCUGACCAAGAAGCCCCGGCUAACUACGUG
rnacentral:rRNA from 1 species